rnacentral:lncRNA from 1 species
ACAAAGUUUAUAUUAGAGCGUCAUCCAUUAAUGCUUUGGCUAGGAGGGGGUCUAUCGCCCUGGUUGGAGUGCAGCAGUGUAAUCAUAGCUCACUGCUGCCAUGAACUUCUGGGCUCAAGCGAUCCUCCCACCUCAGCCUCCCUGUGUGCUGGGAUUAAAAGUGUGAGCCACCGUGCCUCAUCGUAAGGGUCUUAAAAGAAACCCUAUUUCAUACUUUCUUGAUGCACUUGAUAUGGAUUAUAUAAAUCUAUGGACAAAAAUGACAUCAGUACAAUGGAAUAUUGGAGUUUUCUACCAUAAUCUCUGCAUAGUGCACUGAUUUUGACAAUCACCUAUGGAUGAAAAUACAUUUGCCAGAGUCUAGGAGUUAAAUGGAAAAGUUAACAGCACACCGUUGGAGAAAAAUAUCUGGGAGUAGAUGCAUUCAAGGGAGUAAGAAGAACAAUUACCUGCAUCACCUCACCCCCAGGGUCCACUUCUUAGUGCCAAGAUAGACUCCCUUCAGCAGGCAAUUUCUCCCAUGGGGAAAAGGAGAGUAUAAUGACCAAUUGGAUGGUGCUUUUUCCAGACCCACAAAUGGCUGCCCAUGGACCAAGCAGUAUGUACUUCCUCCAUUCUGAGCCCAUGAAAACCCCAGACUCAGUCAGACUCUGACACUCAUCAGGAUGACAAGCCUGCAAAUAGGAUCUACCCAUUUUGGGUAUGCACUCCACUGAGAGCUAUUCUGUCACUCAAUAAAGCUCCUUUCUGCCUUGCU